AUGAAAGUACACCUUUUCGGUGCAGCCUCAUCGCCCGGGUGUGCCAAUUAUGGCCUCAAGCAUAUUGCUGCUCAAGGUCGUGGUUGCUUCAGUGAAUCCUCCAUUCGAUUCAUAGAAAGGAAUUUCUAUGUCGAUGAUGGGUUGACAAGUGUCUCAACUGUAGAUGAAGCUAUCAAACUGAUGAAGGAAGCAAGAGAACUUUGUAGCACAGGAAAGCUUCGUUUACAUAAAUUUGUGUCAAGCAGUGAAGAAGUAAAAGCAUCAAUUCCUCUGGAAGAAUGUGCUAAAAGUGUUAUGGAACAUGACUUGGCUUUGGGUGAGCUUCACAUGGAAAGGGCACUUGGUGUGAAAUGGUGCAUCAAAUCUGACAGCUUCCAGUUUAGAGUAUUCGUUAAGGAACAACCACUCACUAGAAGAGGAAUCCUGUCAACAGUGGCUUCUAUAUAUGACCCACUUGGCUUUGCAGCACCCUUAAUUCUUGUUGGUAAGCAAAUACUGCAACAGAUGUGUCAAGAUAAGGUGGGCUGGGAUGAACCACUUAAAGAGGAGUUGUUGACAAAGUGGAAAGCUUGGCUUACAGAUCUGCGAAACUUGGCUGAUGUGAAGAUUCAGAGAUGUUAUCUCCCGUCAACUUUUAAGGAAGUUCAGCGUUAUGAGCUUCAUCAUUUCUCUGACGCUAGUACAUCGGGAUAUGGAGAAUGCACAUAUCUCAGAGCUAUUAGCAUAUCAGGAGAUGUUCAUUGCUCCUUGGUUAUGGCCAAGGCUAGAGUUGCUUCUUCUAAAGUUACCACCAUACCAAGGCUGGAGUUAUCAGCUGCAGUAGUUGCUGUACAAACAAGUGACUUGCUCAGAAAGGAGCUGGAUAUAGCCAACCUAGAAGAGUACUUCUGGACUGACUCAAAAGUUGUCCUUGGAUACAUUAAUAAUGACGCCAAAAGAUUUCAUAUCUUUGUAGCAAACCGCAUUCAACGGAUUAAACAAAGCACAGAUACUAAACAAUGGAGAUAUGUGACGUCUAAAGAGAACCCUGCCGAUCAUGCGUCCAGGGGCCUUACAUCAGAAGAGCUCAUAUCCUCCAACUGGUUCACAGGACCAAGGUUUCUGUGGAAGGAUGAACUGCCCAGUGAUGUUAAGGUGGGAGAGAUCAUAGACAAUGACCCAGAGCUACGGAAAGCUCAAGUUCAUAAAACUCAAGCAAAAGAAGAAAGAUCAUUGCUUGAUCGACUUCAGAAGUUUUCAGAUUGGACAAGAGUGGUAAAAGCUAUUGCAAGACUUAAGAGAUGUUCCAGGGAAGUGAAAGGUCUAAGUUCAAGGGUUAAUGAAGCCACCAGUAUUGAAGAAAGACAGGAUGCAGAGCUUACCGUUAUCAGAAUGGUUCAACAAUCAGCCUUUUGUGAUGAGAUCCAGAGACUCCGGCAACAGAAGGAGAUUGAGUCCAGCACAAACAAACUGCAUCGCCUGAAUCCCUUCUUAGAUGAGCAUGGUAUCCUCAGGGUGGGAGGUCGCUUAGUACAUGCUGCAUUACACCCACAUGUGAAACACCCAGCAAUUCUCCCACGACAUAGUCAUAUAUCAACAUUACUCAUCAGACAUUAUCAUGAGCAAGUGUAUCACCAAGGGAGAGGAAUGACUAUAAAUGAACUGCGAUCAAACGGUUUCUGGAUCUUGGGAUGUAGCAAAGCAGUGUCUUCAUAUAUCUACAAAUGCACUAGGUGCAGGAAACUGAGAAGAUGCACUGAAGAGCAAAGGAUGGCGAAUCUUCCUCAGGAACGUAUGGAGACAACCCCUCCUUUCACAUACUGCGGGAUGGACUGUUUCGGUCCUUUCUACGUCAAAGAAGGAAGAAAGGAGUUGAAGCGUUAUGGGCUUCUACUUACAUGUAUGUGUUCCAGGGCGAUCCAUGUGGAAAUGCUGGAUGAUUUAUCUACUGACGCAUUCAUUAAUGCAUUGCGUGCUUUCAUUGCCAUACGUGGACCUGUACGUCAACUUAGAUCCGACCAGGGCACUAAUUUCGUGGGUGCAAGACGAGAAUUUGCUGAAGCACUAAAGGAAAUUAACCAAGAACGCCUAAAGGAGUUUGGCUGUGAAUUCAUCAUGAACACCCCAUCAGCCAGUCACAUGGGUGGCAUUUGGGAGAGGCAAAUUCGGACAAUAAGGAGUGUUUUGACAUCCAUUCUGGAUCAAUCGGCUCAAAGACUUGAUAGUGCCUCACUAAGAACAUUUCUCUAUGAAGUCAUGGCUAUCGUGAAUAGCAGACCCUUAACCACGGAGCAUCUGAAUGAUCCAUCAGGUCCGCAGCCUCUUACACCUAACCAUAUCUUGACUAUGAAGACUUCAAUAAUUUUACCACCACCUGGAGAAUUUGUCAAGGAAGACCUUUACCUUCAUAAGAGAUGGCGUAAGGUGCAGUAUUUAGCGAAUGAGUUCUGGUCACGUUGGAAAAAAGAAUAUCUUCUAAACCUGCAACACAGGCAGAAAUGGCACAAGCAUCGUAGAAAUGUAAAGGUCAAUGACAUUGUCAUUCUAAAAGAUGACACUGCUCCACGCAGUCGGUGGAAGCUAGCGAAGGUAACAGAAGUGCACAGUGGUACAGAUGGCUGUGUAAGAACAGUGAAGUUGUUGAUCAGUGAUUCGACAUUGGAUAAAAAGGGCAAACGUGUUACUAAACCGACUUACCUUGAAAGGCCCAUUCAGAAAAUAGUUACCCUGAUUGAAGCAGAUUAA
rnacentral:lncRNA from 1 species